rnacentral:tRNA from 3 species
CGGGAUGUAGCGCAGUCCGGUAGCGUGCUUCGUUCGGGACGAAGAGGUCGGCGGUUCAAAUCCGCCCAUCCCGA